rnacentral:rRNA from 1 species
AGAGUUUGAUCAUGGCUCAGAACGAACGCUGGCGGCAGGCCUCAAACAUGCAAGUCUAGGGGGCGUAGCAAUACGUCACCGGCGGACGGGUGCGUAACACGUGGGAAUGUACUUAUUGGUUCGGAACAACUCAGGGAAACUUGAGCUAAUACCGAAUGUGCCCGAAAGGGGAAAGAUUUAUCGCCAAUAAAUCAGCCCGCGUCCGAUUAGCUAGUUGGCGGGGUAAAGGCCCACCAAGGCGACGAUCGGUAGCUGUUCUGAGAGGAAGAUCAGCCACACUGGGACUGAGACACGGCCCAGACUCCUACGGGAGGCAGCAGUUGGGAAUCUUGGACAAUGGGGGAAACCCUGAUCCAGCCAUGCCGCGUGAGUGAUGAAGGCCUUCGGGUUGUAAAACUCUUUCGACGGGGACGAUAAUGACGGUACCCGUAGAAGAAGCUCCGGCUAACUUCGUGCCAGCAGCCGCGGUAAUACGAAGGGGGCUAGCGUUGUUCGGAAUUACUGGGCGUAAAGCGUGCGCAGGCGGUUCUUCAAGUCAGUGGUGAAAGCCCGGAGCUCAACUCCGGAACUGCCAUUGAAACUGUAGAGCUCGAGUACGAGAGAGGUGAGUGGAAUUCCCAGUGUAGAGGUGAAAUUCGUAGAUAUUGGGAAGAACACCGGUGGCGAAGGCGGCUCACUGGCUCGUAACUGACGCUCAUGCACGACAGCGUGGGGAUCAAACAGGAUUAGAUACCCUGGUAGUCC